rnacentral:rRNA from 1 species
AUUGAACGCUGGCGGCAGGCUUAACACAUGCAAGUCGAGCGGAGAUGAGGUGCUUGCACCUUAUCUUAGCGGCGGACGGGUGAGUAAUGCUUAGGAAUCUGCCUAUUAGUGGGGGACAACAUUCCGAAAGGAAUGCUAAUACCGCAUACGUCCUACGGGAGAAAGCAGGGGAUCUUCGGACCUUGCGCUAAUAGAUGAGCCUAAGUCGGAUUAGCUAGUUGGUGGGGUAAAGGCCUACCAAGGCGACGAUCUGGAGCGGGUCUGAGAGGAUGAUCCGCCACACUGGGACUGAGACACGGCCCAGACUCCUACGGGAGGCAGCAGUGGGGAAUAUUGGACAAUGGGGGGAACCCCGAUCCAGCCAUGCCGCGUGUGUGAAGAAGGCCUUAUGGUUGUAAAGCACUUUAAGCGAGGAGGAGGCUACUGAGACUAAUACUCUUGGAUAGUGGACGUUACUCGCAGAAUAAGCACCGGCUAACUCUGUGCCAGCAGCCGCAGUAAGAC